UGCCACGCUCGCAAGGCAACCGCUGUCGCCCUUGGCACUGAAAGAAUUCACAGAUGCUGCCCCUUUAAAACUCGUGGGUUCUCAAGUGCCAAAGAUGACGGUGCGUUCGGAAGAACGGGAUCGUG
rnacentral:pre_miRNA from 14 species